AUUGAACGCUGGCGGCAGGCCUAACACAUGCAAGUCGAGCGGGGUUUUCGGACCUAGCGGCGGACGGGUGAGUAAUGCGUAGGAAGCUGCCCGAUAGAGGGGGAUACCAGUUGGAAACGACUGUUAAUACCGCAUAAUGUCUACGGACCAAAGUGUGGGGACCGUUCGGGCCACAUGCUAUCGGAUGCGCCUACGUGGGA
rnacentral:rRNA from 1 species